GAGUCGGUGGUGCAAUUGGUUAAGCACACGCUCGCAAAAAGUGUGAGGUACGGGUUCGAGUCCCGCCUCGCGUA